UCAUCUCAGUGUGACUGGGUUCCCAUGUCAAACUGUAGAUCACAUUGUGACCAGCUAUAAACUAAGGGCAUAUAUACAAUGUGGUAUCUGAUUUUUUUCAAUACAAACUAUGUUGCACUUCAAUAGUUAGAUGGCCUAGACAUUGGUAUUUGAACAGAUCUUUUUAACAUUUAUUUUCUAUUGUGUUUUAAUAAUCUAGAUGAAAUGUUAAUAUAUAUUGCUAAUCCAUGUAUGAUAUGCCAUAUGAUAACCAUAUUCUUGACAAUGAGCUAGAAAAACACAAUAAAAGAAGUGAGUGAUAACAACACAACAAGACAAUUGGCUUCAAAUUACAGAUCCCUGUAAAGAUUUGCAACAAACACACCAGGAUUAAAAGAACAGGUGCUUGCUUUGAUGGACAGCUUCCGAACCAGUUCUUUUUUAUAAUCAAGAAAUCCCAUGUAAUUAUA